GCUUACACAUGCAAGUCGAGUGCGCGUCUGUAGCAAUACAGAUGGCGCACGGCGCACGGGUGCGUAACACGUGGGUAAUCUGCCCUUCGAAGGGGAAUAACUCGCCGGAAGGCGAGCUAAUUCCGCAUAACAUUCCGAGAACCUUGGUUUUUGGAUUCAAAGGCGUAAGUCGUCGGAGGAGGAGCCCGCGCACGAUUAGCUAGUUGGUAGGGUAACGGCCUACCAAGGCUAUGAUCGUUAGCUGGUCUGAGAGGAUGGCCAGCCACACUGGAACUGAGACACGGUCCAGACUCCUACGGGAGGCAGCAGUGGGGAAUCUUGCACAAUGGGCGAAAGCCUGAUGCAGCGACGCCGCGUGGGGGAUGAAGCUUCUCGGAGUGUAAACCCCUUUCGACCCGGACGAAUGCCCCGCAAGGGGACUGACG
rnacentral:rRNA from 1 species